rnacentral:rRNA from 1 species
AUGCACGCUGGCGGCGUGCCUCAUCCCUGCCAGUCGCGCGAACAGACGAGGAGCUUGCUCCUCUGACGUUAGCGGCGGACGGGUGAGUAACACGUGGAUAACCUACCUAUAAGACUGGGAUAACUUCGGGAAACCGGAGCUAAUACCGGAUAAUAUAUUGAACCACAUGGUUCAAUAGUGAAAGACGGUUUUGCUGUCACUUAUAGAUGGAUCCGCGCCGCAUUAGCUAGUUGGUAAGGUAACGGCUUACCAAGGCAACGAUGCGUAGCCGACCUGAGAGGGUGAUCGGCCACACUGGAACUGAGACACGGUCCAGACUCCUACGGGAGGCAGCAGUAGGGAAUCUUCCGCAAUGGGCGAAAGCCUGACGGAGCAACGCCGCGUGAGUGAUGAAGGUCUUCGGAUCGUAAAACUCUGUUAUUAGGGAAGAACAAAUGUGUAAGUAACUAUGCACGUCUUGACGGUACCUAAUCAGAAAGCCACGGCUAACUACGUG